rnacentral:rRNA from 1 species
UACGGAGGGAGCUAGCGUUAUUCGGAAUUACUGGGCGUAAAGCGCACGUAGGCGGCUUCGUAAGUCAGAGGUGAAAGCCCGGAGCUCAACUCCGGAACUGCCUUUUAGACUGCAUCGCUUGAAUCCAGGAGAGGUGAGUGGAAUUCCGAGUGUAGAGGUGAAAUUCGUAGAUAUUCGGAAGAACACCAGUGGCGAAGGCGGCUCACUGGACUGGUAUUGACGCUGAGGUGCGAAAGCGUGGGGAGCAAACGGG